rnacentral:rRNA from 1 species
UCGGAUUGUAGUCUGCAACUCGACUACAUGAAGCUGGAAUCGCUAGUAAUCGCGAAUCAGAAUGUCGCGGUGAAUACGUUCCCGGGUCUUGUACACACCGCCCGUCACACCAUGGGAGUUGGGAAUGCCCGAAGCCGGUGACCUAACCGAAAGGGAGGAGCCGUCGAAGGCAGGCUUNAUAACUGGGGUGAAGUCGUAACAAGGUACC